rnacentral:tRNA from 1 species
GGGCCGCUAGCUCAGUUGGUAGAGCAGUUGACUCUUAAUCAAACGGUCGGGGGUUCGAAUCCCUCGCGGCCCA